rnacentral:rRNA from 1 species
AUUGAACGCUGGCGGCAUGCCUUACACAUGCAAGUCGAACGGCAGCGGACCUUCGGGUGCCGGCGAGUGGCGAACGGGUGAGUAAUAUAUCGGAACGUACCUUUCAGUGGGGGAUAACGUAGCGAAAGUUACGCUAAUACCGCAUAUUCUGUGAGCAGGAAAGCAGGGGAUCGCAAGACCUUGCGCUGAUUGAGCGGCCGAUAUCAGAUUAGGUUGUUGGUGAGGUAAAGGCUCACCAAGCCGACGAUCUGUAGCUGGUCUGAGAGGACGACCAGCCACACUGGGACUGAGACACGGCCCAGACUCCUACGGGAGGCAGCAGUGGGGAAUUUUGGACAAUGGGCGCAAGCCUGAUCCAGCAAUGCCGCGUGCAGGACGAAGGCC